rnacentral:rRNA from 1 species
CGCAUCUGUGCAUGCAGCAUAUCAAUAAGCGGAGGAAAAGAAACUAACAAGGAUUCCCCUAGUAACGGCGAGUGAAGCGGGAAGAGCUCAAAUUUGAAAUCUUAAAGGGUUUCCCUUUACGAAUUGUAGUUUAAAGAAGUGUUUUCUGUUGAGGUUUUGGUAAAAGUUCUUUGGAAUAGGACAUCAUAGAGGGUGAGAAUCCCGUAUUUGACCUUUACUUUCAACUUUGUGAUACACUUUCAAAGAGUCGGAUUGUUUGGGAAUGCAGUCCAAAAUGGGUGGUAAAUUUCAUCUAAAGCUAAAUAUUGGCGAGAGACCGAUAGCGAACAAGUACCGUGAGGGAAAGAUGAAAAGAACUUUGAAAAGAGAGUUAAACAGUACGUGAAAUUGUCAAAAGGGAAGCGUUUGACACCAGUGUUGUUUUUCUGAAAAUCAAUUAAAGAACUGUUUAUGCUAAGUUGUUUAGACUUUAUCAGCUAAUCUGUUUAGUUUUGAGCUUUUCCUUAAUGCACUUUUCAGUUAACAAGUCAACAUCAAUUUCUUUUGCUGUAAAAAAGCUUGAGGAAGGUGGCUUGAGAUUCGUCUUAAGUGUUUAUAGCCUCUUGCCUAUGCAGUCGGAGAGAUUGAGGUCUGCAGCGUAGAUCCUUCGGGGCUAAAUGCAUUUGUGCUAAGUUAUAGCAUUUUAUAGACAACUUGUUGACUAUGAUUUGUCUUGUAGCUUACUCGCUUAUGUUAUUUUACCUACGCUUAGGAUGUUGAAUCUGUGCGAGACUAC